AUAUUCCCUCUGCCUUUUGGCUAAGAUCAAGUGUAGUAUCUGUUCUUAUCAGUAGUCAGGGUCUAGAAGAGGCAAGAUCUUUAAAUGAAACUUGCCACCACUC
rnacentral:snRNA from 1 species